UAUAGGGGAUAAGUAGCUGAUCAGGACUCAGUGAGGAGCUUGUGCCUUUUACCGGUAGAUGACACGCACUCCAUUUAUUCCUAUGGGAGCGGCCAUGAUGCCCUAGAACUGUACCCUGGUGUUUCCCAACCAGGUUGCCUCCAGCUGUUGCAAAACUACAGCUCCCAGCAUGCCUGGACAGCUGAAGGCUAUUACCCAGCUCUCCUAGACUCCUGAAUGGCAGACUGACCCUAAUUUUGUAGUGCAGUGCUUCAUAACCAGCAUGCCUUCGGCUGUCCGGGCAUGCUGGGAGUUGUAGUUUAGCAUCAGCUGGAGGCACCCGGGUUGGGAAACACUGCCCUAUCGAAGGCUGUCCGGGCAUGCUGGGAGUUGUAGUUUUGCAACGGCUGGAGGCACACUGGUUGGGUAAACUCUGCUUUAAAGUGACUCCAGACGGCAGUUCUGGUUUCAUGGAUUCUAGCUGUUUCCGGAGCUGAGGGAGCGUUUAGUUCAGCGCGGCGUUGACAUUCAUACUGGAGGAAUGCGGAAAGGUUACACAGUAUGGAUUAACUGCAUAACACUCACUUGAUAAGUAAGAGCAUUGAUUACUAGGCCUCUGUUUGUUAUAACCCGGCUCUACGAUAAUCAAUACGGCGCAGCCAUGAGAUAUGAACAAUCCCCAUUAACCGGGGGGAUAUUACCUCUUAUUUUUCUCAUUUAAUACAACAAUGCGGCUCUGAGUGACCAUUGUGCGGGCCACGAAGAACGGACCCGUCGAGCCCUGAGAGGCACGUCCAGCCAGCUGGUGACUCUGACGGAAGAAAAUGGGAAAAAAUAAUGAACACUGCAAAUUGUAAGAUUUUUGGGGCCUGGAGAUGUGGUGCCAGCUUUGGCUUGUUGUCCUUGUUGGCUGUUCCCAAACCACGGAAUAAAGAAUGUACCAGGAAUGGAUGAACCAUGGACGGACAUCCCAUAGAAGAUCUCACGUGUGUUUGAUCCAAGAGGCGAGCGUUGGGUAGAAGGUUUAGGAUUUUAGCAAUAAUUUACCUCAGUAGACCAGCAGACCCAGUGGCAGUACAGCGCCAGCCGCCAUGUAAGACAAACGUUAACAAUAACUACGCAACGAACCUUGUGUCAACUGGGGGUUCAAUAGCUGAAGAUUGCUCUGUUGGGGUUCAGAUUGUAUGGUGGUCGUGUCAUGGUCUGGGGAGCUACUUUCUGGGAUACUUCGUUGUUGACCAAUUUGUAUCUCAGGUUUCGAGAUCUUCUGUAAAACAUGAAAGGGGUACUCCACUGCUCAGCGUUUGGAACAAACUGUUCAGCCCCCCAAUAUAUAAAGGGGCGACCAUUACAGUCACUGAAACUAGUCAAGUCCUGCACAUAGUCAAGUCAAG